rnacentral:rRNA from 1 species
AACUUUCCAAGGUUGACCUCAGAUCAGGUAGGAAUACCCGCUGAACUUAAGCAUU